AUUGAACGCUGGCGGCAUGCCUUACACAUGCAAGUCGAACGGCAGCAUAGGAGCUUGCUCCUGAUGGCGAGUGGCGAACGGGUGAGUAAUAUAUCGGAACGUGCCCUAGAGUGGGGGAUAACUAGUCGAAAGACUAGCUAAUACCGCAUACGAUCUACGGAUGAAAGUGGGGGAUCGCAAGACCCCAUGCUCCUGGAGCGGCCGAUAUCUGAUUAGCUAGUUGGUGGGGUAAAAGCCUACCAAGGCGACGAUCAGUAGCUGGUCUGAGAGGACGACCAGCCACACUGGGACUGAGACACGGCCCAGACUCCGACGGGAGGCAGCAGUGGGGAAUUUUGGACAAUGGGGGCAACCCUGAUCCAGCAAUGCCGCGUGAGUGAAGAAGGCCUUCGGGUUGUAAAGCUCUUUUGUCAGGGAAGAAACGGUAGUAGCUAAUAUCUAUUACUAAUGACGGUACCUGAAGAAUAAGCACCAGCUAACUACGUGCCAGCCGCCGCAGUAA
rnacentral:rRNA from 1 species